rnacentral:rRNA from 1 species
AAUCAACGCUGGCGGCGUGCCUAACACAUGCAAGUCGAACGCGAAAGCCCGCAAGGGUAAGUAGAGUGGCGCACGGGUGAGUAACACGUGGACAACCUGCCUUCGAGUGGGGAAUAACCUUCCGAAAGGAGGGCUAAUACCGCAUAACACCUCGGGACACAAGUUUUGGGGUUGAAAAGAGCAAUUUGCUCGAAGAGGGGUCCGCGCCUGAUUAGCUAGUUGGUGAGGUAACGGCUCACCAAGGCUUCGAUCAGUAGCCGUCCUGAGAGGGAGCACGGCCACACUGGAACUGAGACACGGUCCAGACUCCUACGGGAGGCAGCAGUGGGGAAUUUUUGGCAAUGGGCGAAAGCCUGACCAAGCAACGCCGCGUGGGUGAUGAAGUAUCUUGGUACGUAAAACCCUUUCGGCAGGGACGAACCUAAUGACGGUACCUGCGGAAGAAGCCCCGGCUAACUCCGUGCCAGCAGCCGCCGCCGU